rnacentral:rRNA from 1 species
AACCUCUACACGGUGGAUCUCUUGGCUCGUGGAU